rnacentral:rRNA from 1 species
GACGAACGCUGGCGGCGUGCCUAAUACAUGCAAGUCGAGCGAAGCGGCGGAUUGGUGAGUAACGCGUGGGUAACCUGCACUUAAGUCUGGGAUACCAUUUGGAAACAGAUGCUAAUACCGGAUACUAAAGGAUGGACCUGCGAUGCAUUCGCUAGUUGGUAAGGUAACGGCUUACCAAGGCGAUGAUGCAUAGCCGGGUUGAGAGACUGAUCAGCCACAUUGGGACUGAGACACGGCCCAAACUCCUACGGGAGGCAGCAGUAGGGAAUCUUCCACAAUGGACGAAAGUCUGAUGGAGCCACGCCGCGUGUGUGAAGAAGGUUUUCGGAUCGUAAAGCUCUGUUGUUGGUGAAGCGGUAAUCAACCAAAAAGUCACGGCUAACUACGUGCCAGCAGCCGCGGUAAUAC